rnacentral:rRNA from 1 species
GAUGAACGCUAGCGGCAGGCCUAAUACAUGCAAGUCGAACGAGAUUAAGAGGCUUGCUUCUUAUGAAAGUGGCGCACGGGUGCGUAACGCGUAUGCAACCUACCUUAAUCAGGGGGAUAGCCCGAAGAAAUUCGGAUGAAGACCGCAUAAAAACACAGGAUAGCAUUAUCCAAUGUUCAAAUAUUUAUAGGAUUAAGAUGGGCAUGCGUGUCAUUAGCUAGUUGGCGGGGUAACGGCCCACCAAGGCGACGAUGACUAGGGGAUCUGAGAGGAUGACCCCCCACACUGGUACUGAGACACGGACCAGACUCCUACGGGAGGCAGCAGUAAGGAAUAUUGGUCAAUGGAGGGAACUCUGAACCAGCCAUGCCGCGUGCAGGAAGACAGCCCUCUGGGUCGUAAACUGCUUUUAUUCGGGAAUAAACCUUUCUACGUGUAGGAAGCUGAAUGUACCGAAGGAAUAAGGAUCGGCUAACUCCGUG